GGACAAUCCGCAUUUAUCUCGCAGGCCCCUGAGAAUUUCCCCCUCCCACACCCGGGACAAUGAGAAUUUGGCUCCUUCUGUGUUUCGUUGCAGCAGCUCUGAAAGGUGUCCGGUGCCAAGUGCUGGUGGAGUCCGGAGGGGAUGUGAAGAAGCCCGGAGACUCUCUGCGCCUCUCCUGCAAAGUCUCCGGCUUCACCUUCAGCAGCCUCUAUAUGGACUGGGUCCGGCAGGCUCCUGGGAAGGGGCUUGAAUGGGUCGCUUAUAUAAACCCCAGUUUAUGGAUCGCAUACGCGGAUUCCGUGAAAGGCCGAUUCACCAUCUCCAGGGACAAUUCCCAGAGCACGUUGUACCUGCCAAUGACCGGCCUGAGGCCCGAGGACACCGCCCGCUAUUACUGUGCGGGAGACACAGCGACACGAAACAGGUUUCUGAUCGUGCAAGAACUCAGGCUGAGGAACCGCCCUUCCCCCGGCAGCCGCGAGGGGGCAGCAGAGACACACGGGCCGCUCCGGGCUGGGGCUGGGGACCCGGCAAGCGGGUGA